ACGCUGGCGGCAGGCCUAACACAUGCAAGUCGAGCGGUAACAGAGAGUAGCUUGCUACUCUGCUGACGAGCGGCGGACGGGUGAGUAAUGCUUGGGAAUAUGCCUUAUGGUGGGGGACAACAGUUGGAAACGACUGCUAAUACCGCAUGAUGUCUACGGACCAAAGUGGGGGACCUUCGGGCCUCACGCCAUAAGAUUAGCCCAAGUGGGAUUAGCUAGUUGGUGAGGUAAUGGCUCACCAAGGCGACGAUCCCUAGCUGGUUUGAGAGGAUGAUCAGCCACACUGGGACUGAGACACGGCCCAGACUCCUACGGGAGGCAGCAGUGGGGAAUAUUGCACAAUGGGCGCAAGCCUGAUGCAGCCAUGCCGCGUGUGUGAAGAAGGCCUUCGGGUUGUAAAGCACUUUCAGUAAGGAGGAAAGGUUAAGUGUUAAUAGCACUUAGCUGUGACGUUACUUACAGAAGAAGCACCGGCUAACUCCGUGCCAGCAGCCGCGGUAAUACGGAGGGUGCGAGCGUUAAUCGGAAUUACUGGGCGUAAAGCGUACGCAGGCGGUUUGUUAAGCGAGAUGUGAAAGCCCCGGGCUCAACCUGGGAACUGCAUUUCGAAACUGGCAAACUAGAGUGUGAUAGAGGGUGGUAGAUUU
rnacentral:rRNA from 1 species